AGAGUAGGCGCAGGUGGUUACAGACCAGUUUCAUUGAAACUGCUUUGAGGAAAGUCCGGACUCCCGAAAGACCAGACUUGCUGGAUAACGCCCAGUGCGAGCGAUCGCGAGGAUAGUGCCACAGAAACAUACCGCCCUUUUUCAGUAAACAGUGAACAGUGAACAGUACACAGUCAGUUACUGAUAACUGAUAACUGAUAACUGAUAACUGAAGAGGGUAAGGGUGCAAAGGUGCGGUAAGAGCGCACCAGCACGACCGAGAGGUCGUGGCUCGGUAAACCCCGGUUGGGAGCAAGGUCACAAGGAACUACGGUUGGUCUUUUACCAGUUCCGCUCUUAUAAGAGCCGCUAGAGGCGUUUGGUAACAAGCGUCCCAGAUAGAUAACCGCCCUCUUGAUAUAGAAAAGUUGUAUGCCUUUCUAGAUUAAGAGAACAGAACCCGGCUUACGUUCCGACUCUCUCC
rnacentral:RNase_P_RNA from 1 species